UACGGGGGGAGCAAGCGUUGUUCGGAUUUACUGGGUGUAAAGAGCUCGUAGGCGGUCUGUCGCGUCUGCUGUGAAAACUCAGGGCUUAACCCUGAGCUUGCAGUGGGUACGGGCAGACUAGAGUGCGGUAGGGGAGACUGGAAUUCCUGGUGUAGCGGUGAAAUGCGCAGAUAUCAGGAGGAACACCGGUGGCGAAGGCGGGUCUCUGGGCCGUAACUGACGCUGAGGAGCGAAAGCAUGGGGAGCGAACAGG
rnacentral:rRNA from 1 species